AGACAGAGGUGGGUGUGUCACCUGAUGAACAAUGAGGAAGUUCAAGCAAAAAUACAGAAAACAUGGGCUAGAGAGAUGGCUCUGCCCUGCCAUAAAAGCCUGAGGGCCUGAGUUCAGAUCCCUGACACCUCUGUGGAAAGCCAAGGACACCUGGGAUCUUGGUUCAGUUAUGGGGUAUGCUGGGCUAGACCAGUGGAAUGGAGACCGAGAACACUCUAUCUGAACUGACCGCCCGUGGAAAGGCAGAUUUAACCGGGCCAAAGCUAUCGAACAUGAGAUCAGCUCUGCUGGGUACAAAGCACAGAGGACUCUAGAGGAAAGAUGUGCAUUCUCGUACGUCUCUGGAAUCUGAGUUGCUAUAUAUCCCCC